rnacentral:rRNA from 1 species
UUUAUCUGGUUGAUCCUGCCAGUAGUCAUACGCUCGUCUCAAAGAUUAAGCCAUGCAUGUGUAAGUAUAAAUAAUUCUACUUUGAAACUGCGAAUGGCUCAUUAUAUCAGUUAUAGUUUAUUAGAAAAAAUGUACUACUUGGAUAACCGUAGUAAUUCUAGGGCUAAUACAUGAGUAAAUCCUCGACUUUGAAGAGGUGUGUUUAUUAGUAUGAAAACCAUAUGCUUCGGCAURAUAGUGAGUAAUAAUAACCUUUCAUAUCGUAUGUUGAAAUAACGAUAGUUCUUUCAAGUUUCUGCCCUAUCAGCUUUCGAUGGUAGUGCAUUGGACUACCAUGGCAGUAACGGGUAACGAAGAAUUUGGGUUCGAUUUCGGAGAGGGAGCCUGAGAGAUGGCUACCACAUCCAAGGAAGGCAGCAGGCGCGUAAAUUACCCAAUCCUGACAUAGGGAGGUAGUGACAAUAAAUCACAAUGCGGGACUUUUAGUUUUGCAAUUGGAUUGAGAACAAUGUAAAAGAGUUAUCGAUAAACAAUUGGAGGGCAAGUCUGGUGCCAGCAGCCGCGGUAAUUCCAGCUCCAAUAGCGUAUAUUAACGUUGUUGCAGUUAAAAAGCUCC